AUUGAACGCUGGCGGCAUGCCUUACACAUGCAAGUCGAACGGUAACGGGCCUUCGGGUGCCGACGAGUGGCGAACGGGUGAGUAAUACAUCGGAACGUGCCCGAUCGUGGGGGAUAACGAGGCGAAAGCUUUGCUAAUACCGCAUACGAUCUACGGAUGAAAGCAGGGGACCGCAAGGCCUUGCGCGGACGGAGCGGCCGAUGGCAGAUUAGGUAGUUGGUGGGAUAAAAGCUUACCAAGCCGACGAUCUGUAGCUGGUCUGAGAGGAUGAUCAGCCACACUGGGACUGAGACACGGCCCAGACUCCUACGGGAGGCAGCAGUGGGGAAUUUUGGACAAUGGGUGCAAGCCUGAUCCAGCCAUGCCGCGUGCAGGAUGAAGGCCUUCGGGUUGUAAACUGCUUUUGUACGGAACGAAAAGCCUUCUUUUAAUACAGGAGGGUCAUGACGGUACCGUAAGAAUAAGCACCGGCUAACUACGUG
rnacentral:rRNA from 1 species